rnacentral:rRNA from 1 species
AGAGUUUGAUCCUGGCUCAGAGCGAACGCUGGCGGCGUGCUUAACACAUGCAAGUCGAACGCGCAGCAUUCUGUAGCAAUACAGGGUGUGGGCGCGUGGCGAACGGGUGCGUAACACGUGGAUAACCUUCCUUCAGGUGGGGAAUAACCCAGUGAAAACUGGGCUAAUACCGCAUAACAUGACGAUGGCACAUGCUGUUGUCUUCAAAGGCGCAAGUCGCCAGAAGAGGGAUCCGCGGCCGAUUAGCUUGUUGGCGGGGUAAUGGCCCACCAAGACAGUGAUCGGUAUCCGGCCUGAGAGGGCGCACGGACACACUGGAACUGAAACACGGUCCAGACUCCUACGGGAGGCAGCAGUGGGGAAUUUUGCGCAAUGGGGGAAACCCUGACGCAGCAACGCCGCGUGGAGGAUGAAGUACUUCGGUACGUAAA